rnacentral:lncRNA from 1 species
CAGUGAUCUCACGAAAUGCCGGACAGACGCAACCUAAUAAAGAAAAGAAGACAUACUUUGGCCCACAGUUUAAGGAUUUGGGGAUACCACCACCGUGGCUGCAGUAGCUUGAGAUAGUUAGCCAAGCACUGCAUCUGCAGCCGGGAAGCAGAGAGAUGGACGCCUGUGCUCAGCCUGCUUUGCUUUGCCUGGUCCAGGACCGCAGCUGAUCUCAAGCACCCCUACAGUUAGGGCUUCCAAGUGUAACUGGCUUGACCCACGCUACCAUCUCGUCAGCAAGAACGCACGCAGGACACUCGGAUCCGUCUGCAGUAAAGCUUUAAUGAAUCUCAAGAGAUAGAUGAUCAGCUUCAGGAGAGGAGACCCAGAGAGCAGAAAACCCUUCCCUUAUAUAGGCUGCGAAGUAAGUUUGGAGACGUGCACUAGCCGGAUUGGCUGCCCACCAUCAGCCAGAUGACGCCAUGGGAGAGGCAGGGCUCAGGUAAUGGAAAGAUACCCUGACGCCUGCGCACACUACUUGUUUUUCACCACGAGCAACAGAUGUCAGCGCCAUUUUGUAAUGGCGACCGUGAGGGCGGCUCCUCACACUGGCUAGUUUUGUGUCAACUUGACACAGCUGGAGUUAUCACAGAAAAAGGAGCUUCAGUUGAGGAAAUGCCUCCACGAGAUCCAGCUGUGGGGUAUUUUCUCAAUUAGUGAUCAAGGGGGAAAGGCUCCUUGUGGGCGGGACCAUCGCUGGG